AAAUGUAAAAGAAAGUGUUAAAUGUGUGGAGAAUUGCUGAGAGCUUAGCAAAUUCCUAUCAAGAUAUCCAUGUCUGCCACUUCAUUUCUGGCUCCCAAUUCGAAUACUCUCUAUUUUAACCAUUCCAAUUGUAGUAUCAACCACAAAACUCUUCUUUUUUCCAAAUCUUUCAACUCUAAAAUUACCACCUUUUCCUCCAAAUCCAAUGCUAAUAAUCAUCCCACCAACAACUGCAAUCUUGAAUUUGAAAAUCAAGAUUCUGGGUCAUCAUCAAACCCCAUUUCACAUUCAAGUUCAGGAAUUAAAGGCCCUACUGCUCCAUGGAUGAGGGGUCCUCUUCUUCUUGAACCUAAUCAAGUUUUGGACUUAUCCAAAUCAAGAAGGAAGAAAGAUGCCAACUUUGCUAAAACCCAAAACCCUAAUGAUGCACUUUCUGGUAAAGUUAGUGGAGGAAGAGGUAAAAAAGCAAUGAAGAAGAUUUAUCAAGGAAUUGAUAAACUCCAAGAAACGCAAAAUUGGGAAUUUACACCGGAGGAAACUGAUGCAAAGGUUGAAUUUCAGUUUCCACCAGGAUCUUUAGCUGAAUGGGAAGAUGUGAGCCAUGAAAUUGAGGAGCAAAACCCAUAUGGGAAGGAGGGCAAUAUGGAAAGCCUUGAGGAAGUGGAAUUUGAUAUAUUAUCAAGAGAGAGUGAAGGAAAGGGGAAUAGAAAAAUUGGGGUGAAAAUGCCAUGGGAGAGUGAGGAGAGAAUUGUGUAUAGGAAAAUGAAGAAGGAGAAAGUUCUCACGGCCGCUGAGUCAAAUCUUGAUGCAAUGUUCCUUGAGAGAUUGAGGGGUGAGGCUGCAGGGAUUCAGAAGUGGGUUAAGGUUAAGAAAGCCGGAGUUACUCGAGCUGUUGUAGACCAAAUACACUUGGUUUGGAAGAAUAAUGAACUUGCAAUGCUCAAAUUUGACCUGCCUUUAUGCCGUAAUAUGGACAGAGCUCGAGAAAUUGUUGAGAUGAAGACUGGAGGCUUUGUUGUUUGGAGGAAUCAAAAUGCUUUGGUUGUUUAUAGAGGAUGUAACUAUACUUCACAACAGAAGGAGCUACAGCAUGAUUUUCUAUGUAGUCAACAGAACUCUUCAUUUACUGAAAAUAUUAAAGAGACAAGUAUUUUCUCGCCAUUGAACUCAAGUGGGGGCAGUGAGGAUGAAAUGAUAAGUGGUGAAAACUCAGAAGAGGAUAGCCUAGCAAUGAAUGAGUCCCUUUAUGAGAGGGAAGCUAAUAGAUUAUUGGAUGACUUAGGACCUCGUUAUGUUGAUUGGUGGUGGCCAAAGCCUUUGCCUGUGGAUGCAGAUUUGCUUCCUGAAGUAGUUCCUGGAUUUAAGCCACCAUUUAGACUUUGCCCACCGCGUUCAAGAUCAAAGCUGACAGAUGAUGAACUUACACACUUGAGGAAACUUGCUCGUUCUUUGCCAACUCAUUUUGUCCUUGGGAGAAACAGAAAACUGCAAGGCUUGGCUGCAGCAAUCGUAAAAUUGUGGGAGAAAUGUCAUAUAGCAAAGAUAGCUUUGAAGUGGGGAAUUCCAAAUACUAGCAAUGAGCUAAUGGCAAAUGAAUUGAAGUAUCUUACAGGAGGAGUCCUUUUAUUGCGGAAUAAGUUCUUUAUAAUCCUAUAUAGAGGCAAGGAUUUUCUUCCUUCUCAAGUUGCAAGCCUUGUAGCUGAGAGGGAGGUGGAGCUCACAAGAUGCCAGCUUGAGGAAGAAGUUGCACGAUUCAAAGCAAUUGAAAAUCUUCCAAUCACUACUGAAGUAUCAAGGAGCAGUAGUAAUGUUGGGACUUUAUCAGAAUUCCAGACAAUUGCAGAACACGGAAAGGAGAAAUCUGAGGUUGAAGUUCAAUUAAUAUCUGAAAAGGAAAGAUUAGAAAAAGAACUGGGGAAUCAACAGCACAGCCUUUACAUUCUCAAGAAGAAGAUUGAAAAAUCAUCUAUAGCAUUGGGAAAGCUAAAUGCUGCGUGGAGACCUGCGAAACAGGAUGAAGAUAAAGAAAUCUUAAUACAGGAAGAGAGACGAUCUCUUAGGCAGAUAGGAUUGAAGAUGGACAGGAGUUUAGUUCUUGGGAGACGUGGUGUUUUUGAUGGUGUCUUAGCUGGUCUCCAUCAGCAUUGGAAGCACAGAGAAGUUAUUAAGGUGAUCACAAUGCAGAAAAUCUUUUCUCAGGUCAUUCAUACUGCUAAGCUCCUGGAAGCAGAAAGUGGUGGAAUACUGAUUUCUGUAGACAAACUUAAAGAAGGCCAUGCGAUAAUAAUUUAUCGGGGAAAGAACUACAGACGACCGGAAUUGGUUCCUCAAAAUCUUCUAAACAAAAGACAAGCUUUAUGUCGGUCCCUUGAAAUGCAGAGACUUGGAUCAUUGAAGUUUUAUGCAAAUCAAACGGAGCAGGCAAUCUCUGAUCUUAAGUGCAAGUUGGUAGAAUAUACAGUAAAAAUUGGCCAAAUGCAGGAGAUCUAAAAGCUUGUGGCGCCGUCAUAACUACUAUUUCUCUUGAUCUCUGUCUUGACAUGGUGUACAUACAUCAACGCGAAGAGAAUUCUCCCAUUAGCUAGCUGAGUAUUAUGGGUAAGUAAGGACUAUUGCUUUGAGAGCCCUUAAAUAAUGACCUUAAACUUGUUAAAUUUUGAGGUGGAAGUGCAUCUUGGGAUUUCACUUUUUGGAUAAUUGUGCAACUUGGAGAAGCAUUCAACGUCAACUUUGUGAUUCCCCUGAUGAGACAUAGCAGAUUUUCAGAACUGGAACAGUCGAAUUCUCAACCAUGGUGUAGUUCACUUAUCUGUAUCUUGUGUGGUGGACUUGCAUUUGAGCAAUGGAUUGAUAGAGUAAUACUGCUAACAUUACAGCAUAGACAAAAUUCAAAGAACUGCUACUUGUUGCAUGAUCUGGAAAAUACCUGUUGAAGCAUUAGGUAGGGUCACCUCUACACUUGAAAGCAACAAAACAGACAUUUGGAGGAGGGAGAAGAUGAACAUACUACAGGGAUUUGUUCCAUACAGCACGGAAUCGAUUGCAUUACAAGGUCCUGUUCUUAUCACUUAUUGACUUGUAAAAUUAAGUUCACUUUAGCAAAAUCGACAAGUGGCUACUCCACACUGCAGUAAAAGGUGGUUCUGAUGCAGCAUGAGAUGGGUGUUACCAGGAGGAUUCAUUGUUAUUUGGUGAUCAUCAAUCCAGGGCGUAGUGCACCUAUGGCUUUAUCCUUCAUUUACCACAAGACUAUGACAUAGGUGUUAGUGUAAUUUAUCAAAACAAGUGUGGUCAGGUUGUGGCUGCUCAUGUACAGAUGGAGACAGUACAGAUAUAAUUUGGACGCCAGCCUUGGACAUCGUUUACGUUGACACAUGCAUUGUAUGACUCAACUAGAUUAACUAAAUAAGUUAGAAUGUUUGGUGAGGCCAACAAAAAUCUGAAA